CGUAACCUACGGGGGGCAGCAGUGGGGGAUAUUGCACAAUGGGGGGAACCCUGAUGCAGCGACGCCGCGUGGGUGAAGGAGCGUUUCGGCGCGUAAAGCCCUAUCGGCAGGGAAGAAGGAGGACGGUACCUGACUAAGAGGCCCCGGCUAACUACGUGCCAGCAGCCGCGGUAACACGUAGGGGGCAAGCGUUAUCCGGAUUUACUGGGUGUAAAGGGAGCGCAGACGGUGAGACAAGUCUGAAGUGAAAGCCCGGGGCUCAACCCCGGGACUGCUUUGGAAACUGCCUGACUGGAGUGCUGGAG
rnacentral:rRNA from 1 species